UACGGAGGGUGCAAGCGUUAUCCGGAUUCACUGGGUUUAAAGGGUGCGUAGGUGGCUUUGUAAGUCAGUGGUGAAAGCCCGGAGCUCAACUCCGGAACUGCCAUUGAUACUGCUUAGCUUGAAUCAAGUAGAGGUGGAUGGAAUAUUACAUGUAGCGGUGAAAUGCUUAGAUAUGUAAUAGAACACCGAUUGCGAAGGCAGUUCACUAUGCUUGUAUUGACACUGAGGCACGAAAGCGUGGGGAGCAAACCGG
rnacentral:rRNA from 1 species